rnacentral:rRNA from 1 species
UCCGUAUAAGGGGCCUGCGGAAGGAUCAUUACCGAGUGCGGGCCCCUCGGGGCCCAACCUCCCACCCGUGUUGCCCGAACCUAUGUUGCCUCGGCGGGCCCCGCGCCCGCCGACGGCCCCCCUGAACGCUGUCUGAAGUUGCAGUCUGAGACCUAUAACGAAAUUAGUUAAAACUUUCAACAACGGAUCUCUUGGUUCCGGCAUCGAUGAAGAACGCAGCGAAAUGCGAUAACUAAUGUGAAUUGCAGAAUUCAGUGAAUCAUCGAGUCUUUGAACGCACAUUGCGCCCUCUGGUAUUCCGGAGGGCAUGCCUGUCCGAGCGUCAUUGCUGCCCUCAAGCCCGGCUUGUGUGUUGGGCCCCGUCCCCCCCGCCGGGGGGACGGGCCCGAAAGGCAGCGGCGGCACCGCGUCCGGUCCUCGAGCGUAUGGGGCUUCGUCACCCGCUCUAGUAGGCCCGGCCGGCGCCAGCCGACCCCCAACCUUUAAUUAUCUCAGGUUGACCUCGGAUCAGGUAGGGAUACCCGCUGAACUUAAGCAUAUCAAAACGGGAGAGAG